rnacentral:rRNA from 1 species
AAUGAACGUUGGCGGCGUGGAUUAGGCAUGCAAGUCGAGCGAGAACCCAGCAAUGGGGGACAGCGGCGUAAGGGACAGUAAUGUGUAGAUUAUCUGCCCUCGGGACCGGGAUAGCUGCGGGAAACUGCAGGUAAUACCGGAUAACAUCUCCGGAUCAAAGGUGUGAUUCCGCCCGAGGAUGAGUCUGCAUCCUAUUAGCUAGUUGGCAGGGUAAUGGCCUACCAAGGCCUUGAUGGGUAGCGGGUGGGAGAGCACGACCCGCGUCAUUGGGACUGAGACCCUGCCCAGACACCUACGGGUGGCUGCAGUCGAGAAUCUUCGGCAAUGGGCGCAAGCCUGACCGAGCGACGCCGCGUGUGGGAUGAAGGCCUUCGGGUUGUAAACCACUGUUAGAGGGGAUGAAAUGCAGGUGGGUUCUCCCAUCUGUUUGACAUAGCCUCAGAGGAAGGACGGGCUAAGUUCGUGCCAGCCGCCGCCGUAAGAC